CCUGCUGAUUACAGAAUAUAUGUGAAUGAAAUUGACUGUGUUUGCUUCACAGAAGUUGUAUGUAAGCCUUUGUGGUUUGCAUGACUAUGCACCCCUUGGUUCACUUUGAAUAUUGAGUCUACAUGAAUUUCCAAAUCUCAUAAGUAAAUCUCAGCUGACACUCACCAAUUAUACCAGAUUUGAGUUGGAAACGAGGUGAAACCUUUGUGUUUCUCAUAGUUUCCAGCCAAGACCAUAAAUCAGCCCUAGUUCAUUCAAAGCAUUCAUGAACCUUGAUGAAGCACAUUUGAGGCUUGGGUUAUAAUAAACAUUUCAGGUUUUUGGCCAAAUAAUACCCUCAGGCUCUUACUCCAUGGAUCUCAGAAACUGAUCUUUGUUUUUGCUAUUAAAGGUCUGGUAGCAGUUUCCUAGCUUAACUGAGGAUCUUCAGUUAAGCCAGGAUCUUCUGUCAUUCAAAAAAGAGAAGGUACUCUGACCCUCAUCUCUCCUGCAUUUUGUUUAAAGAACAGUAGACUGUCCAGCAUCCACAGCUGUGCCACCACUAGAAAGCAACAGUCUCUGAGAAAACAUUCAUACAACAAUCUGGUUGUUUUAUUGUCUGAAUCUGUCAGGACAGUCAUUUUGUUACUCAAACUUUGUGAUCCCCUUGCAAGCUGUAAACUGUUUAAUGAGAUACUUACAGACUGUGAUCAAGUCACUCCUCAAACU